CCAACUGAAUAGGUACAGCCAAUGACAGCAGGUGCUUUAUGGCUUAAUAUUCCUGCCGAGGUGAACGCCUUGUAGCUUUUCUGUUUGCCACCAAUGUUUGAGCAAGUGGCAAAUUUAAGAAAAAUGCGUUAAGCGUGACCCCGGCUGAGUAGCUGGGGUUUUUGAGUUGAUGG
rfam:Phormidium ambiguum IAM M-71 NIES-2119_Scaffold_1, whole genome shotgun sequence.